rnacentral:rRNA from 1 species
GUGAGGAAUUUUCCGCAAUGGGCGAAAGCCUGACGGAGCAAUGCCGCGUGAAGGAUGAAGGCCUAUGGGUUGUAAACUUCUUUUCUCAGAAAAGAAUUAUGACGGUAUCUGAGGAAUAAGCAUCGGCUAACUCUGUGCCAGCAGCCGCGGCAAGACAGAGGAUGCAAGCGUUAUCCGGAAUGAUUGGGCGUAAAGCGUCUGUAGGUUGUUUAAAAAGUAUUCUGUCAAAGAUUAGGGCUUAACCCUAGAUAGGCAGAAUAAACUUUUAAGCUAGAGUUUGGUAGAGGCAGAGGGAAUUCCCGGUGGAGCGGUGAAAUGCGUAGAUAUCGGGAGGAACACCAAAGGCGAAGGCACUCUGCUGGGCCAAUACUAACACUGAGAGACGAAAGCGAGGGGAGCAAAUGGGAUUAGAUACCCUUGUAGUCC